GGCCAUCUGUGCCUAACAGCCGCCUGGCCGCGGGAUUAGCAGCCGCGGUAAUACGGAGGAUCCAAGCGUUAUCCGGAAUCAUUGGGUUAAAGGGUCCGUAGGCGGGAUUAUAAGUCAGUGGUGAAAGUCUGCAGCUUAACUGUAGAACUGCCAUUGAUACUGUAGUUCUUGAAUUAGUAUGAAGUGGUUAGAAUGUGUAGUGUAGCGGUGAAAUGCAUAGAUAUUACACAGGAUACCGAUUGCGAAGGCAGAUCACUAAUACUAUAUUGACGCUGAUGGACGAAAGCGUAGGUAGCGAACAGGAUUAGAUACCCUGGUAGUCUACGCCGUAAACGAUGGUCACUAGCUGUCCGGCCUAAUUGAGGGCUGGGUGGUUAAGCGAAAGUGAUAAGUGACCCACCUGGGGAGUACGUUCGCAAGAAUGAAACUCAAAGGAAUUGACGGGGGCCCGCACAAGCGGUGGAGCAUGUGGUUUAAUUCGAUGAUACGCGAGGAACCUUACCAGGGCUUAAAUGCAGUUUGACAGGGAUGGAAACAUCCUUUCCUUCGGGCAAAUUGCAAGGUGCUGCAUGGUUGUCGUCAGCUCGUGCCGUGAGGUGUCAGGUUAAGUCCUAUAACGAGCGCAACCCCUUUUGUUAGUUGCCAGCACGUAAUGGUGGGAACUCUAGCAAGACUGCCGGUGCAAACCGCGAGGAAGGUGGGGAUGACG
rnacentral:rRNA from 1 species